AACGACUCUCGGCAACGGAUAUCUCGGCUCUCGCAUCGAUGAAGAACGUAGCGAAAUGCGAUACUUGGUGUGAAUUGCAAAAUCCCGUGAACCAUCGAGUCUUUGAACGCAAGUUGCGCCCCAAGCCUUCUGGCCGAGGGCACGUCUGCCUGGGUGUCACAAA
rnacentral:rRNA from 1 species